GGUUUAUUGGUGAUUCCAGUUUUCUCCUCUGGGGGUUGUUGAUAGGCUUUUGUCAUUUUUCUGUUUUUCUUAAUUGUAUCUAGGAAUUCUUUACACAGAGAUGCCACAAAGUUUAACUUUGGCCUCAGUACUCAGGAAAAGAUAUACUUGGUUUCAGCCUUGGCUUCAGGCUUUGAAAGACAGAGUAACAAAUAGCUACUUCUUUUCUGGCCCCUUCAUCAUCUGCUUGUUCAAUGGAGCUUAGGCCAGAGUCUUUCAAGAAAAAAAGUCUUAUUAGAGAAGUCUUCAUAUCUCGUGAGGAUGAAUUAAAAGCAGAAUCUCAACUUUGCUACCUUUAAAUGUCACGGAGAGAAAAAACUGCAAAACCAUGUGCAACAAUAUCCAUGAUAAAUCAUCUUUGAUCUCAACAUAACGGAGACUAUAAGGAGUAUAAAGACUAGAAGAAAGAGUAGAAGGUGAUCCACAAUCAAUUCAGAACCUGGUCUUCUAUGGUGGCUCACAGUUCCUGCACCCUACAAUAUCGUGGUAAUGAUGAAAGCUAGCCAUCUUGUUUAUUACAUGUUUCUCAGUACUUAAAUAUGGAGUCAGAAUUCUUUCACCACCGUGGGACUCCCAGGCCCCUCACUGUGGUACUUCUGUUGCUGGCACCUGGAAAGCCUGUUAGAGCACCUAGAAAGCCUGUACCUCUGUUGGGAGUGCACAUCUACUACUUCGAGUUGCCUUCUCCAUAUCUGUUAUCUUGGCCUACUGGUGACUUUCCAUCAGUCAUGUUAAGUUGCCAAAUAUGGUACCUAGAAUAUCAUAGAUUCUUAAUAAGUACUAUGAGAAUCAAUAUAGACAUAAUAAGCAAAAUCAAAAUCUUUAUCAUCUUAUUAGAUAUGGAAAAAAACUACAGAUACGAUGCAAUAAAAUUCCAACUGGACAAAUGCGUCAUUUACUUCAGGACUCUCUUAAAAGCAGCACAUUUUAAUUUUGGUCACUUUUUUCUGUUAGAAUAAUUUCCUUCAUAUUUAGCCAAAUUCUGCCUCCUUACCAUUUUUCCAGCAAGUCCCAUUUGUCCCAUGUAUGUUUUCAGAGUAAGUAUAAACAUAUUUUUUCCUACAUGAGCCCUUCAAGUAUUUAAAUAUCUUUAUCUCUUCUUUAUGUCUUUUCUUCUUUUAUCAUCUUUUAUUACACAAUUCAUUUUCCAGACAUUUUAAUUUCAUGUGGCCACCUUCAGAGUACAUCAUAUCCUAAUUCCUUUUAUAAUACGUGUUAUUUAGAAUCUAAAAGCAUCCCUUUUCUGGCCUGACUGCCUAAGGACCAUAGGAUUACCAUCUCCCUUAUUGUUUCCAGAACUAUGCAUCUUGAAAUCCACCUCAGUUUGCACACAGCAUUUAUCCACUACAAUUUGCCCAUUUAUGACUAAUAUUGAGCUUUUGCUUUUUACCUAGCAGUUUGAACAUGUCUCUACUGUGUGAUCCUUGUACUGUAAACCAGUCUUUAGUUUGCACAGGAGUGUACGAGAUCCUUGAGUGGAGAGACAACUCACUCUCCACCUAUAAAUUCCUAAAUUCUAAUGUAAAGAAAUUUGCAGGUCAUUCUAAACGCUUAAUGACUGAAUGACAAAUAAAUGAAAGACCUAGUUUUUAAAUACAAACUAUUUUGAAUAUGUUUAUCACUAUUUUACCUACGCAACUCCAUUUUUGCUCCUAAGCACGGAAUUGUAUCGUUUUGUUGUUGUUUAAAGAUCUGAAGUGCACAUAAUUCAGUUAAUGACACUCCAUAGUUCAUGGCACACAAUUGUCAUUGGCCAAGGCCAGACUUUUCAUUUGUUGCUAUCAAAAUUUAGCAUGGUAUCUUGGACUCAUUACUCCUGCUUCUUGUAAUUUGAUUCCCUGUGAUUAACUGUCUCACACAGCUUUGUAUUAUUUGCAAUUUUGUUAAGAGGAGAAAGAGGAUUAAGAUACAGGAAACAACAACAAAGAGUAAAUGAUAUAUUAAGUUCUGAAUUGUAAGCUACAGAUUUUAAAUGCUCGCAGAAUUUGGCAAAGAGGUAGAACUUGAACAUGUGAACUAGAUAAGAAAAGAAUAGAAUCACUGAGAUGUGAGCUCAGUUAAGAAGGCUGGGUGGGAUUUGGGUAAGUAGAAAAGAAAGGAACUUGUGAGAAAAGGAGAAAAAAGAAGCAGCUCUGUUUGUUUGCCAUAGGAAGUGGGAAGUGGCAAGAUAAUCAUUUGGAUAGUUGGAAUCAGGAUCUCUCUUCUUUCUGACCCUCUCUCUAUUAAUGUAGAUAAAGUAAGAGACAUUGUCAAGAUGAAUUUUGCCUUGCAUCUACAGCUUUCCGAUAUAAGUUUGCAAUUUUUAAAUUUGUAUUAGCAAAAAAUACAAAGAGAGAGGCGGGCAGUGCUGGUAGGACGUGGAGUAGUAAAGAUUGCUGUGUUUUCUGUUGCUACUUCUUUUCCAGGCAGACUCAGCCUUUAAGAGAAGACUUUAUUCUGACUUUUUAUACUAAUUCAUACUACGUCUCUCCGGAAGUCUAAGGACUUUUCUACUUGCUUUCAAUUGAGAAGUCACUCAGAUGGCUAACAUCUACAAAUCUCAAAUCUUGUAAAUAAAUGCAUGUUUAGAUAGGAGUGUAAAGACUUCAUUACCUUAUAUUCGCUCUUUAUUAACUAUUUGCCACAUCCCACGUGACAACACUAGAAUUUCUAUUUCUAACACCAUGAAUUGUAUAAGUAACAUGUUUUUUGUUUUUCAGUUUAUAUUGACUGAUAAAAUACAUAGGACCAGAUUUGUUCCUGUCUACCACAAAUAUUUAUAUCAUCAUAUAAUUCACUUUUUAGCUUUCUUACCUACAGUUCUCUGUCCUCACACUUGUUUUACUUCUAUUCCAUUUUUAUAUCAUGGUGCAAUCCCCCAAUUUAGCUUAACAUCCUGAACAUCCCAUCUGAGAACCAUUAAUCUAAAUAAUUUUGUCUAAAAUAAGGAUGUUAAUUUAAACAUAAUAUUUGGCGUAUAGCUAAAAUAAAAUUGGGUAAUCAAGUGGCAAAUGUUAAACUCUUACUAACAUGUAGCUUUAAAGGUUUAUUUUAUUGCAUUGUGUAAUAAAGAAAUGUGUGCAAUGCAAUUGCAUUGCACUGUAUCACAUUGUGUGCAUAAUUUGCAACAGAUAGAUUAUUAAAGUUAUUAAAGAGCUUCUACAUUGCUUUGUGUAUACAUAUAGAAAUAUUUUCAAGUACUAAAAUAAUAAUGAUGAGAAUGGGCUUGACAUAUAUAUUGCUUUUCAAUUUAACAUAUUUCUGAUGCCUAUAGUCAAAGAUAAAGAUUCAGGAUUUUACUUUAUGAAUAAUGUGAUGAUGAUAUAAUCAGAAUUCAUGUGGUUUCCAAAGUAGAUGACUCACAUCCAAAUUCCCAGUUCCCUCAGAGCACUGUUGGAGGCAUUCAAUAACAAACAAACAAAACUAAUAUCUGGUAUUUUUUUUAAUCAAAAAGUUUUGCGCAGAUUUUAGAUAACUACAGUCUAUUCAGUCCAGUCUAUGAUGAGGACAGAAAUGGACUUUUAGAGGAUGUUUUGUUGAGCGUGAAAUAAAUGCAGAUGAGAA
rnacentral:lncRNA from 1 species